GAGAAAAUUUUCAGACCUGGAGGGAUGAGGAUUGGUGCAGAUCCACCUUGGUGGCUUUUCCUGGGCAGCGAGAAGGUGAAGGCACUCUGUGACGAGGCCUGAAUGUACCCAUUCUUCUCAGCCAAGUGCUAACACUUAAGGAUUUACAAAGCGUUUCCUUUGUGAAUAUCAUACAGUUGGUGGUGGGCUUGCUCUGAAGGAGUGUGCUCACAGAAACACAGCUUUGGCAAAAUGAACCUUGGGGCUGCGCCUUGGGACUGGCAACUAGUAGAGAAACUUGGGUGCCGCUCCCAAGUGGGUGGUCCUCAGUGCUGAAGAUCAUUGCACCAGGCAGACAAGAGCUUCAUCUUUCCCUACACGGCAGAAGCCUGACUCUGACUCGUUCACGAGGAGCACACACACCUGUGAGACAAGCCAUGUGACAAGGCAUUGUAUGUGAAGGAAAUUGAAAUCCUGUAAAAUUUAUUUCUUCAGUAUUUAUCAGUCUCUCUAUAACGGCAGAGUCUUGACUCAUUAUUGCUGAUGUGCAGCUGCUUCAAUGAGUGCUUACUUCGAACCUCAUGGGAAUCAUAUGGUAAAUACUUCGAGUUGGUAAGAUCUUCUAGUUAGUGACAUGGUUUUUUUCUUGACACUGUUUUCUCUGCUGAUUAAAUUGGGAUAAAACUAUUUGUUUUGUCAUUUGCCCUACCACCUAGAAGGAGCAGUCCCAGCAACCUGUAGUAUCUCAAGCUCUUGGGGGUGGGAAGACACAGAACUAUAUUAAUGGCAUUAACACAGUCUUAAAAUAAAGUGGGAGCAGUACAGUGCAGCACUGCAAUGUGCAGCAGAGGGAGAACUCUAUUUAUAUGCCAGAAGGCUGUUCUGUCUGUGCUAACACUGGGAGUGAGCAGCUGUGAGAGAAACAGAGAAUAAGUGAUAGCACACUCUGAAAUGAAAAAGAACCACAUAUGUUGACUAAGUAGUAGCACCAGUACUCUCGUUUCGGUGCUCUGAAGAGAUACCUUCCAACUUACUUAAUGAAUUUGCGCAAAAUUGAUAUGUUACAGAGUAAUCUCCAGAAGUCUCUGGAAAUGCAGACAUUCUGACCCAUAAACAGAGCAACAUUGUUCAGCAAAACUCCAUCUUGAAUGCUGCUGGAAGACCAGGGAAGACCUGAAAUAUUUGCUUUCCUCAUUGCAGAUCUCACUAACAAAUGUACGUAUCAUCCCCUGGGAAUGCAGUUUCCUAAUCAUGAGGUUCAUGUGUGAGCACCAUGCAGAUGGACUACUGUUAGCAGGACUCACACUUUGCAAUGUUUGCUUUCACCUCUUAAAGCUUUAAAACACAUAUGAAAACAGAAUAUGCAUUCCCUUGACGAGACUGCUUUUCCACAGGUUUCGUUACUGAUUUUCCUACCCUGACACUGCUUAUUACCAAUAGUUUCCUUUCAGUUUUGUUCUUGGGCUCUUUAAAGUCUUGAGAAGCUCCUUGAGACUGUGUCUGUACAAUGGAAUAACUCCUGAUGAGCCGUGGACACAGCAGUAACGCUACUGCAGCUCAUGUAUGUAGCCAAGGGCAAGCCAGGACCUGCGUUACUGGGCACCUGGGAUGGAGUGGCUAAAACACUUGACUAAAGCAGGCUCCAUUUGUACCUGUAGAUAGGAGCCAGACUAUUAAAAGCAGAUAGGGGUCUGUUAUGGCCUUAUCUUAACAUGGUAAAACCUUGAAAAUCUAGCAUUUCUUGAACAUUCUGGCUCCAUCAUGGGUCCUAAGCCUUUCUUGGCACAGCAGCUUCAGGUGCAUGCUCAGAGGUGAUUACUGCAGUCCUGGAUGCAGCUGUAGUAGAUUAACAUAAAAUACAGAAUUUUAAGCAACUUAGAAGAAGGUUAGUUUAUUGUAAACCGCACCAUACGGAGGAAGGGCUAGGUUCACAGUGCCCAUUAGUGGACGCCUCAAAAGCUGAUAAGAAGGAGCUGGUAUGCAACUUCUGCUGAUAAGAAGCUGCUAUGCAACAUCAGCAGUCUCGACCUGGAAAGCAACCAGAAGGGGGCUGCACCUGUGCACAGUUCGAGGCUAAAAAAGUUCAUCCUGAGGAAGACUAUUGACUUCAUUCCUGAGACCCCAGGCCACGACCACCAGGAGGCACUGCGCAGGAGCAAGACUGAAGAGAUCCUUCCAGAACUAAUUAUAAUACAAGGGGGGAAAGAUUAUGAAUAUGUAGUAGGCGCUUAUAAUUAUGCAUGU